rnacentral:lncRNA from 1 species
AUAAAACCCAUCCAAAGGCCCUGCUGGGCUACUGACAGCUCACUAUCCCUGCAUGUCAACUCUUUACCUGUGCACAAUUAUGCAAGCACAGCCCUCCUCAGUUCCCUGAAAAGACCUGAAUGAAGCCAGGGUCUCAGGUGUGAGGUCAUAGAUCGGAUUCUAGAGGACAGAAGUUGAAGGUCAGAAUGCCAGCAUGGUUGAGCUCUGGGAGCUAUGAAAUAUCUGAGCUGAGUAAGUGAUGCAGAAGGAGACAGAAGCAGUGUGUGGCCUUUACACAGUGACCUGGCUCAAAUAAUUUCAGGUUCUCAUUAACCAGGAGAGCUCCUCUUUCUCUCUGAGGACAGAGACUCCCUUUUCUUACAGUUGGAAUGAGGGAUGAGGAGAUUUAAUGGUAUCCUGUUCAGGUUGGAUGUUAACCUGAUGUGGUGCUCUUGGAGAAGCUUGCCUGAGUUAGGCACUUUCUCAGCAUGUGGUGUGUGUGCUGCCCCUUCAAGCUGCAGAAGUCCCAGAAGAGGCCCUGCCUGGCUGCUGGGGCUGCCCUGAGACUCGUUCUGCCUCCUCCUUUUCCCUCCACAGCUCUCCCGGCUUCUAUCCACAGCUGUGCUCCAGGUAAACAACCAGGGGCCUCCAGGUGUAGAGAACUUAUUCAGACAGGUUCUGCUGCCUGUAGGCUUGAUGUCCUUCCCCCACAACAUGCCAUACUUGCCAGGCUGGAAGGGGGGCUCCAGAAACUUUGGAAACCUGGGCCUGUAGCUGGUAUAUGGAAAAGAGGCCUGGAAAAGCACCACUCCUGUGCCCCAGAUGGAACCAG